rnacentral:rRNA from 1 species
GAACAGGAGCUAAUACCGGAUAAUAUAUUGAACCGCAUGGUUCAAUAGUGAAAGACGGUUUUGCUGUCACUUAUAGAUGGAUCCGCGCCGCAUUAGCUAGUUGGUAAGGUAACGGCUUACCAAGGCAACGAUGCGUAGCCGACCUGAGAGGGUGAUCGGCCACACUGGAACUGAGACACGGUCCAG